UUCAAUUUAACAACACACAGAGGACAUGAACAGACAUUUCUCCAAAGAAGACAUCCAGAUGCCACGAGGAGGAUGCACAGUGUUCUCUUCUGAGCAUGAAGACGGCUUUCGGUAUUGCCUUUGUAACUGCCGAUUGUCAUUGAUGAUCGUUCUACUUUUCCUUUGGGGGAGUUAGAGGGAGAGAAUGCAGUCUGAGUGGU
rnacentral:snoRNA from 1 species